GAAGGACUUUAAAAGUCCCGCUCAGUUGUUCUCAUUUUCCAAGGGAUGGAAAAGGGAUGUUCCCGUUUCCCAAGGGUGGGCAGAGCCCCUUGCAGAGGCUGGUGCUGGGGUUCUACCCACUGGGAGAUACUGAAAAAGCCAUUUACUUCCCCAGGAUACCUGUGAUCUUGAAAACCAGAAUAAUUGUAUUGUCUGAUGUCAACGUGGAGGAAGAAUGUGGAGCAUUCAGCAACGAUAAGCAAAACUUAAAUGCUUUGGAGGUGGAGUUACAACAAAACUCCCCGUUGCAGUGAUGGACACGUUCAAUAAUAUCCGGGAUGAAGAAGCUGGGAGGAGGCGCUGCUAAUAAUUGCGAAGGAUGUCAAGAAGGAAGAACUAAUGUGUUUAAACAUAUGGGCUGGGAUUCCUCUCACCUCACCAAUCAUGUAAAAAUUAGGUGCGUGCUCAUUUUAGCUCUCUCUGCAGUCCAUGCAGAAGCAAGUUUCUUCCAGAAGGCAAUUUGUCCUGUCCCAAAGGGGUGUCCGUGAUGGACGGGUUCAGUAGUUCUCUGGAGGUUUCUCCUCCUGUUGACAAUAGAGAGUAUAGACUAAGUUUUAGACUAAAUACGUGACUUUUAGUUGGUGCCGUUAGCAGAGACAAGCCCUCUUCCUUCCUGGAAAAAAGCACAAAUAACUGUAAUUUCACAAAAUCUCUGACAGUGAGUCUUCAUUUUUUAAACAGCCCUAGCUGUCAGGAAUAGCUGAUGCAUUUGAAGAAGAUGGGUGGUGUUUGUAAAGCGGAGUGAAGAAGCAACGAGUAACUGCUGCUUUCUGGCUGACAACCUGAUUGUAUUUUUUUGAUGUCCCUCCUUGGCUUCAGCAUCGAUGUCCAGACCUUUGCUCUGCCCGGCGUUGCAGACCUAGACCAGUGAGGAACCUUCCUCCCAUUUGCUGAGGAAAAGCCAUAGUCUUACCAAAAGCCACGGGGACUUUGUCUCCCACAUCCCCAAAAUAACAUAGGCAAACAGAUUCACCAGACAUGUAUGGGUGGGAUGAAAAAUGUAGCUAUUGCACCACCAAAGUGUUGGGCAGAUUAUCACGCAUAAGACUGGAGUAGAAAAUAGGAUGUAUUUGCCUGAUCAGUUCCUGUUACUUUGCUCCACCGUCUGUUUUGGGGUUUUUUUCCUUCU
rnacentral:lncRNA from 1 species